GACGAACGCUGGCGGCGUGCUUAACACAUGCAAGUCGAACGGAGUGGCGAACGGGUGAGUAACACGUGGGUGAUCUGCCUUGCACUUCGGGAUAAGCUUGGGAAACUGGGUCUAAUACCGGAUAGUGCAAGAUGAGCUCGCGGCCUAUCAGCUUGUUGGUGGGGUAAUGGCCUACCAAGGCGUCGACGGGUAGCCGGCAUGAGAGGGUGUACGGCGACAUUGGGACUGAGAGACGGAGCAGACUCCGACGUGAGGCAGUAGUGGGGAAGCUUGCACAAUGGGGGGAAGCCUGAUGCAGAGACGCCGCGUGGGGGAUGAAGGCCUUCGGGGUGUAAACUCCUUUCGACAGGGACGCGGUACCUGUAUAAGAAGCACCGGCUAACUACGUGCCAGCAGCCGCGGUAAUAC
rnacentral:rRNA from 1 species